rnacentral:lncRNA from 1 species
CUUCCUCUCCCCUUAAAGAGAAGGGGUCGUCGGAGUCAAGAAAUAAGCAACAUCUUCAUGGAAAUAUGUCAAGGUAAUUGGGAUAGGUCAAUAAACAUAUCCCUUUCACUCCCCCUCCCCCCCCUCUCAAGGGGGGAGAAGAGCACUUAAAUUUCAAGAAGAACACAAGCACAGGUCCCUAGAUCGAACCAGGCUCUGAUACCAUGCUAAAAUAUGAAAACUAUGAGAGAAUAUUUGUUUGUGGGAAUUUUCUGUGUAUUCUUCUCCUUGUAGGAGGUUAUAUUUAUAAUACAACGAAACCUGAAUGGGC